AGCCAGGUUACUCUGUUUCCCUGCUAAAGUUAAGAGGCAACUUUCAAAUUCCCAGGCCUUUUUGUGGCAUUCUAUUUAAUUUUGUCAUGCUGCUGCUAGUCUCCUGUUGAGCUUUUGUUGUGAGCCAAUAAGGCUAACGGGGAGCUAAGGGAAAGCAGAAUGAGAUACAAAGAGAAAAAAAGGUAAAAUUAGCUGAAGCCCAUAAUUGGACUCUGCUUGGCCUUGAGGAAGGCACAAUACAUAUUAAUUAAGCAGACUAAUAUGUUGCUAGCUGGAGGGGCUAUUCCAGACAGCAGGAACAAAGUUUAAAACAGUGCUCUCUCGUGCUCUCUCUGUCUCCAGUGAUAAGCUGACCAGAUGCCUUGAAUUAAGUACAGUAUGCAGCAAUGCCAGCCCUGGACUUUUCCCCAACCUAUCACCCAACCCACUUACCUGGAGCCAAGAUUUGUUUUCCAAAGGCUAUAUGACAUGUGAUAUUGGAACAGGUUGAAUCCAAAAGCACAUAUGAGAAUCCAACAGUAUUCUACUAAACUAGACAUUAAAGAGAUUAGCAAAAAUGUAAAACAACGCCACUCUUCUCAUUAACAGUUUGUUUUGGGAAAUAUAGUUAUAUUUCAUUAAAAUGUGUGAUGUAUGCUGAAAUGCAGUAGGAGAAUUUGAGAUUUAUUGUGCUUCCUGAAUCUAACGAUUCAUGUCUUCUACCUGUUCUGGAAAAUUCUCACCAAUUAUCUCUUUAAAUAUUUCUCAUAUCCCCUCAUUCUCUUUCAUCCAUGUAGAAUAUCAUCAGUACAACAUAUAUGUGUCCUUCAAAUGCUCACAUAUUCAAUGUUUUUUAUAUUUUUCCAUUCUUGCAACUCUGUGCUGCACUUUAGGUACUUCCCUCAGAUUUUUCCAGUUUGCUAAUUCUUUUUACAACUGAAUCUAAUUUGGUUAUUUAAGUAUUCCAUUGUAUUCUAAAAUUUGAUUAUCACUUUUUUAUUUUUUAGAAGUUCUACUUUAUUUUAUAAAACCUGUCAGGCCUUGUUUAUGUGUGUGUUCUUAGUUACAUCUUAUUCCUGAUACUGUUU
rnacentral:lncRNA from 1 species